rnacentral:rRNA from 1 species
GGAGGAACCAUGGGAUCGCAAGACCUUGCGCUCAUUGAGCGGCCGAUGCCUGAUUAGCUAGUUGGUGAGGUAAAGGCUUACCAAGGCGGCGAUCAGUAGCUGGUCUGAGAGGACGACCAGCCACACUGGGACUGAGACACGGCCCAGACUCCUACGGGAGGCAGCAGUGGGGAAUUUUGGACAAUGGGGGAAACCCUGAUCCAGCCAUGCCGCGUGAGUGAAGAAGGCCUUCGGGUUGUAAAGCUCUUUCGGCCGGAACGAAACAGUCACGGAUAAUACCCGUGACUACUGACGGUACCGGAAGAAGAAGCACCGGCUAACUACGUGCCAGCAGCCGCGGUAAUACGUAGGGUGCGAGCGUUAAUCGGAAUUACUGGGCGUAAAGCGUGCGCAGGCGGUUUUGUAAGUCAGAUGUGAAAUCCCCGGGCUUAACCUGGGAACUGCGUUUGAAACUACAAGGCUAGAAGGG